GGCUCGUUCUUUUACGCCGGGAUCCAAAGGCUUUGUGUGUCUCUGUAGGAACAAUGACGCCGUCAUUUUCUGGGUCUUCAAAGCAGUUGCAAAGAGAUGCCCAGAUGGAAGAGCGAGGCCCAAACCAUCCGAGGGAAUUCAUAACUUAAGUAACUUGCUAAAGACCUGACUCUUUCUCGUUUCAAAAGCAGUGACUGCCAACGCAUAGAGGUGCCAGCUGCCUAUAAGGUUCCUAGAGCUGCUGGGAGAAUGAGUGGACAGUGGCACAAGGUUUUGCUGGCGUAUAAGAAUUGGAUGUUGUGAACAUGCAGAAAAGGCAGACAAAAGAAGAAAUUGACUAGGGGGUUUUGAGAUGAGGUCUUUACAUAGCCCUGGCCUUGAACUCAGCCAUCUUGCCCCCUAGGUGCUAGGGGUUUUGUGCCAAUAAGGCCAACUAUGAUACUAAUUUUUAUUAAUGGAUAGAAGAUGAGAUCAUGGCUUCUUAAAAAGGGUUGUUGAAUUUCAUCUAAGUGAAAAUAUUGAUUCUUUAAUUUUAUUGGGUUUAAGAUGUGGAUGGAAUUAAAGCUGUGUGGAAGUUUGCAGUGAUUCAUGAGAAUCUAGUAGGAUUAUGGCAAUCUGUCUAGUGAACAGAAUUCAGUGUAAACAGGACAGCAUCUGGUUUGGCCUGGACAGUUGAGCCUUGUAUGUAAGAAUUGUAUGUUAAUAGAUUGUCUUGCAAAUACAUAUAUGACAGCAGUGUAAAGCAUCAGUUUGACAAUUUUGUGACUGUAAAAUUUGUUACAAGCUGCAUUUCCUUAUCCAGCAGGGCUUACUGUAAAUGCUGCAAUAAACGUUCAGUUGAAUCAACAGAUAA